rnacentral:lncRNA from 1 species
GAUUCUUUUUCCGAUCACACCCUCAUCAUUCACUGCGGUUUGGGAAUACGGCGGUGGAGGUUGUGACGUUUCCAGUGUUCUGACUCUGAGCUGCACUCAAUAUCGGUUUCCUACUGACGAGUAUGGGUUUUUUUCUUGGAUUAUAUCCGUGGUGACGCGAAUUUUCAGCUAAGAUCUAUUCAAGCCUAAACGAAUUCAAGAAGAGAAAAUUAUACAGUGCUCCGAAGCAUGUUAUGUAAUAUUUUCAACUAGCAAAAUGUUUUUCAUUUGGAUCUAAUUCGGCACAUGGAACAAUUUGGUGAAUAUCUAAAAUAUUAUCUUUACCAUAUUUGGCCGUCGGAGAACCCAAUCAACACAACCACGUUUAACCCUCGCUGUGAGCUAGUUUAUUCGACAGCAUUCAGUGGAGCGAAAUUCAAGAAACGGGAAAAGUGGUGCUUGGAUCAGAUGCUUGUCCCCGCAGCCUGUCGACCAAACUCUUGAAAUGGUCCACUUAAGUUCGAGCAGUUUCCUCAUUGGUCUAACUGUACCAGGGAAAAGUGUUAUCUGCGCCAGAUGCUUGCCUUCGCAGGCUGUCGACCAAGCCCCUUAAAUGGUCCUGGAAUCUCGAGCAGUUUCCUCAUUGGUCUAAUAUCGAACCAGGUAAAAGUAUGCCAAACAAAUCAUGCAGAUACAAGCGUCCAUACAGCAAACCGAUCAAGCUCCUCAAAUGGUCCAGGACGUACUAGGAGUUUUCUUUUGGGUUAUGAACUUCGAAAAAUGGCGUCUGCAAGAGAUGUCUCAAGAGAUUGCCUGCCGACCUAGCUCCUCAAGUCGUCUGGGAAGUUCGAGAAAUGUCCUCAUUACAUUUGCGGAUACAUGCAGGAAGUGUUUAGCUCAAUGUAAGAAUGACGCUUCGGGCCGCAGUUGCGAAUAAAGCCUGAACGACGAGAAAACAAAUCUCGGAGAAAGGAAUAGGGAUAAAUCUUAGCUCUGCAAUUGGCAGUUGCAGAAAGAUCAGAAUGACUAAAGAAAGAAAGAUUUUGUUGGAUGAAGAUUACGUCUUCUGUGUAAGGCUGCAGAUGGAUCAAGGAGAAGAAGACUGAACAAGGAUUGGAUAUAUUUAGGAAAGAGAAUCCUUCUGCUAUGGAGAAGUUUAUCUCACUGCUUCUGUCUACAAUUAUUGUUUUCGGAUAGAUAGAUUAGAAAAUGAAAUGUUAAAUGAAAAAAUAUUAGUUUUACGAAAUUUAGAGAGACUUUGCAAAUGAGAUGACCAUUUGAUAAAGUUCCAGCUAUUCUUGCGGAUAGAUCCAGAAGGACCAGAAUAGGAUACUAUGUGGGCAGCUUGUAAUGGCAAGUUCUGAACUAAACAGAUGGUCGCGGCAAGAUUAUUAUUAUGGAGGUUGUUUUCAUAAUUAUGCAAAAUAUCGACGAGAUGAUAGGCUACUAUACUACAUUCAGAAACGAAUACUUAUUUCAAGGAUCCCAAACAGCAAACAUCAUCAUAUGAUGUAUAUGCACACCUUCCGCCCACGGGAAGAAAGAUCCAUACUGGAUACUUCGAAGGCUUUGACAAAGAAGAUAAUACGUCGUCAUGACUAACGACGGACUCAAGAACAUAGUAAAGUAUAUUCUUAACUGCUCUUCAUGACAAAGCACAACCAAGAAUUUUUUGUGGAAAAUCGGGGAAUCAAAACAGCAGUUUUGUCCUGAACACCGAACAAACGACAUUUGCAAUUGUUCAUCAUCUCCGAAAAACGUAUAGGACGAAACGCCGUUCCGUUUCACCAAUUUUCGUCACAGACCACCCAGCUGUUCUUUGUCAUUCGACGAGCAUUUACAAUACAUUAUAUGUGUUCUUGAAUCAGUCCCCGUUGCAGUUACGAGAUCAUGGACCGAACCAAUGUGUAUAAACUCGUUCCCAUGUUCAGUAGAUAUGUAAACUAUGCGAAUGGUAUUUCAAAUAACCAUCUUUCGAAUAAGAAACAUUAGUUCGGAAGUCGGACUCACAAACAGAAUUGGCAACAUAAUAAACUUGCAAGGUCCCGUCCAGUAUCCUGUUGGUGUUUUUUUUUAAUGAAAUUAUCAAUAAUUCAUGCAAUCUGUAUAUUGUAAUUGCCAGGGGUGUAGAUAUGUGACGUAACGCUUUUUCGAAGGAGAGGAAGACAUGAUAAAUCAUCCCCAUGAACCAAUUCGGUGUUGAUAUAGGAUACUGUUAAUAAAUUCAUGUAGGCCUAUACCUACAACUCGUAAAUGUAGAAAAGACUCAAACUUCAUGAGUGUGGCGGAAAUUUUUUUUUACUAGGACAGUGCCAAAGUUUACAUGCAUGGUCGUAUGAAGUGUGCGUGUGGGAAUGUGUGCAAUUCCUUAUCCCCUGAAUUAAAUUAUAAAAAAAAAAUUCUUCUCUCGAUUUGUCACGAAAUCCCACCCAAAUUGUGCACCAGAAUCUUCUAUUUCACUUAAAAAAAACCCUCUCUUGUUUAGCUCCCUUGUUUCUAGCAAUGCACUCAUGGGCAUUCAUCCCGAUAUGAUAUACAUGAUGUUGAUUAAGUGUGGAAAAUCAAGUUCCUAGAGGCAUGUCCAGCAACUAUAGAGGAGGAUUAGAUGUAUAGUCGUGUUUCUGGUGGUGAAUUCAAUUUGUAAUUAUGUGCUUUCAUGUUGCGCGUAAAAUGGUGACCGGUAUUGGUCCGUUGGUCUCUCUGUAAAACUCUAGAAAUGCUGAACUGAAAUGCUUUGACAUGUUUGAUGAUGUCUGAUAGAACUCUUCACAGUA